rnacentral:rRNA from 1 species
UUUAUCUUAGUGGCGGACGGGUGAGUAACGCGUGGGUAACCUGCCCUGUACAGGGGGAUAACACUUAGAAAUAGGUGCUAAAACCGCAUAAGCGCACAGUACCGCAUGGUACAGUGUGAAAAACUCCGGUGGUACAGGAUGGACCCGCGUCUGAUUAGCUGGUUGGAGGGGUAACGGCCCACCAAGGCGACGAUCAGUAGCCGGCCUGAGAGGGUGAACGGCCACAUUGGGACUGAGACACGGCCCAAACUCCUACGGGAGGCAGCAG